rnacentral:rRNA from 1 species
UACGAAGGGGGCUAGCGUUGUUCGGAAUUACUGGGCGUAAAGCGAACGUAGGCGGUGUUCCAUGUCAGAGGUGAAAGCCUGGGGCUCAACUCCAGAAUUGCCUUUGAAACGGGAACGCUUGAGUCCGAGAGAGGAUGGCGGAAUUCCUAGUGUAGAGGUGAAAUUCGUAGAUAUUAGGAAGAACACCGGUGGCGAAGGCGGCCAUCUGGCUCGGUACUGACGCUCAGGUUCGAAAGCGUGGGAGCAACAGG